UGGGGAAUUUUGGACAAUGGGCGCAAGCCUGAUCCAGCCAUGCCGCGUGUGGGAAGAAGGCCUUCGGGUUGUAAACCACUUUUGUCAGGGAAGAAACGGCUUAAUCUAAUAAAUUGAGCUAAUGACGGUACCUGAAGAAUAAGCACCGGCUAACUACGUGCCAGCAGCCGCGGUAAUACGUAGGGUGCAAGCGUUAAUCGGAAUUACUGGGCGUAAAGCGUGCGCAGGCGGCUAUGCAAGACAGAUGUGAAAUCCCCGGGCUCAACCUGGGAACUGCAUUUGUGACUGCAUGGCUAGAGUACGGCAGAGGGGGAUGGAAUUCCGCGUGUAGCAGUGAAAUGCGUAGAUAUGCGGAGGAACACCGAUGGCGAAGGCAAUCCCCUGGGCCUGUACUGACGCUCAUGCACGAAAGCGUGGGGAGCAAACAG
rnacentral:rRNA from 1 species